AGAGCUGCAACGGAGAAAAGGAACGCGGGUUAGGAAUUGAUCACGCCUGGGACAUGAUACAGCCCAACAAACACCUUGAGUUCCUUCUCAGCAGCAGUGAGCGAGAGCCCAGGAUGCCCAGAUGGAUAUUUGAAGGACCAUGAGAGAUGGAGAACAUACGGUGUCGGGCUGAGCAGCAACCUACUGUAGCUCCAGUGAGAUCAACCUUCCAUCCUGAGGAUCUGAACCUCACAGCAAAGGAGUUUCAGAGCAGUUCCUGCACAGAAACCAGGAGUGAUCCAGGAGAAGUCAGGUGGUGUUUGGGUGUCUCAGUGUUUUACCUGUGCAGUGACAAUCACUGGAGUUCUUCGCAUCGUUGGUAUUCCCUAAGUAAAAUCCUUUUUGGGCUGACAGACAUAUGGUCCCUUUCUCUGAGCACAAAGUGCCCCAGCUCUGUGCCAGAGGCAUGACCUGUUCCAGGAGAACCUGCUGGGCCGCCAGCACAGGAGGCACAGCCAUGAGUAAGGAGUAACAAAGCAAGACGAGAUCACAAAGAAACCAGUUCCCGACCGUGGGAAUCUUUAGGACAACUCUCUACGUAGCCAGAGUAGGAUUUAGGAGAUUUUCCAUAGGGAAAUUUGAUUUAAAGCCCCUAUAUCCACCCUGGUUUUCCUUUAGCUCUCACACCCCGCAGCCCUUCCAGGCUCCUCAGUGCUGUGAUGCAUCCUCAGCCUCCAGCUCCUUUCCUGGCCAGGACAGGGCUGGAAAUGCCACAGCUUGUGACAGGGGUGACAUGGAGCUGGUUUGGCCUCACCAUUCCCUCCUCUGUCCCAAAGGCAGCACAAAAACAUCUUCAGAUUUCUGAAAGCCUCGUGUGAAAGCUCAGAACAAUAAGAUCACUUUAAUAUGAUUCACUAUAAAUAAUUCACUAAUUUUCCAUCAUGAUAAGGAGGAAGGAAGCAAAUGGAGUGUUCUUUUAGGAAGACGUAGAUUCACGCUCCUUACUGUGACAUGAAUCAUGAAGAAUAACCCUUCCUGGCCUGGGAUGCAUAAAUUAAGGGAUUUAUCUCUCAAAAAUCUUGGCAAGGUCCCCUGGCAUGUGACAGGCAAGGAACAGAAUGGAUGAGCCAUGGCCCAUGUGGAACACGUGGGAAGGAAGGGCCGAGGUGAGUGUUUGGGGCAUGAAACAGCCAGCGAGCGUUUGUGUGUGGCUGGUGCAUCCCGGAGAUGCCGAGCAGCAGGAGUCACCGGAGGAAGGGAGCAGCCCCUGUUUAUGCUGAGCCAAACACAAUGGUAUUUGGACACGCUUCCGACCUUAACGAGCUCCAACUCUUUCCAAGCUCGUGGUGCAAACCCUUGUAGUAUAAAAAUAAGAAAUCCAAAUGGAAUCCCAGUAACUCCUCAGCCUGCCCGAAUAUAGCCUGGUUUAAAGAUCUGGACGUCCUCCAAACAUCCUGUUUGGGGGUUUAACAUGGGCACUGCUGAAAUACUUCUUGUAUGUCCCCAUAAAAUGCCCCAAAUUUUCCUUUACAUUGUGUUCUUUCUGCUUCAUCUUCUCCUGGACAUGGAGAAGUCCAGCCAAUAGCUUUCCACUCCAGUCCAAAUGGGAUUAAAGGCAAGGGAAGCGUGUAUCCCGUGCUCUGUUAAUUUUCCACUCUGCAGAAACAUCGCUGGGUUGUUUUUUUUUUUUUUCCUGUCAGGACAUUUGGCAGGUUCCUCCAGUCAGGAAGGAGAAUGGUUCUAGCAAGUGCUCAAUUGCCACUAGCUACUAGUUUUAAUUUUAUUGCCAUCUGGUAUUUGUGAAACUGCCUGUGAGUUCUGUGGGAUGACUCACCACAUGCAGCUCCAAGGAAAACCCUCAGAGCCAGGUCAGAGGAGCCAGGACGUGGAUCCGAGCCUCUGAGGAGCGUUGAAAUCCCGACGUGGACUGGGAGCAGCUCUGCUCAGCCACAGCCAGGACUCUCUUCCUGCAGGCUCAGGCACACUUUGUUCAGUUUUCAUAAAAAUAGGAAUAAAUACUGGCAGAAGCCUGGAACAUUUGCUGGAGGUUGCCAA